rnacentral:rRNA from 1 species
GACGAACGCUGGCGGCGUGCUUAACACAUGCAAGUCGAACGGUAAGGCCCCAGCUUGCUGGGGUACACGAGUGGCGAACGGGUGAGUAACACGUGGGUGACCUGCCCCGCACUUCGGGAUAAGCCUGGGAAACUGGGUCUAAUACCGGAUAGGACCGCACCGUGAGGGUGUGGUGGAAAGUUUUUCGGUGUGGGAUGGGCCCGCGGCCUAUCAGCUUGUUGGUGGGGUAAUGGCCUACCAAGGCGGCGACGGGUAGCCGGCCUGAGAGGGUGGACGGCCACAUUGGGACUGAGACACGGCCCAGACUCCUACGGGAGGCAGCAGUGGGGAAUAUUGCACAAUGGGCGGAAGCCUGAGGCAGCGACGCCGCGUGGGGGAUGACGGCCUUCGGGUUGUAAACUCCUUUCACCAUCGACGAAGGUUUUCUGACGGUAGAUGGAGAAGAAGCACCGGCUAACUACGUG